rfam:Ophiocordyceps unilateralis strain SC16a Contig_260, whole genome shotgun sequence.
GAAAGCCGUAUGAUGAGAAAUCAUCACGUACGGUUUGGGAAGAGGUGAAUACUCUCAGUAGCGCGCUGAAUCCAUAGAGAUGUUUACCCACUUCAC